GACGAACGCUGGCGGCGUGCUUAAUACAUGCAAGUCGAACGGAAAGGCGCUGCUUUUGUGGGGUGCUCGAGUGGCGAACGGGUGAGUAACACGUGAGUAACAUGCCCUUGUAUUUGGGAUAAAUUCAGGAAACUGGGGCUAAUACCGGAUAUAAGCUCCUGCUGCAUGGUGGGGGAUGGAAAGAUUCGGCGGUUGUGGAUGGACUCGCGGCUUAUGAGCUUGUUUGUGGGGUAGUGGCUUACGAAGGUUGUGAAGGAUAGCCCGCCUGAGAGGGUGACCGGCGACAUGGGGACUGAGAGACGGCGCAGACGCCUAUGGUAGGCAGUAGUCGGGAACAUUGCACAGUGGGCCGAAGCCUGAUGCAGCGACGCCCCGUGCGGGAUGACGGCUUUCGGGUUGUAAACCGCUUUCGCCGUAGACGAGGAGUGCUUGACGGUAAUUGGUAAAGAAGCACCGGCUAACUACGUG
rnacentral:rRNA from 1 species